ACCUGCGUUCAGCGAAUUACAAACAAAUACAUUUAAACUCGUUUACGGACAUUUUCAUUUCAACGGGUUCAAGAAUUUCGGAUGUUGCGCUAUUUGUAAUUAUGCCUGCAAAUGAGCUUAUUACGUUUACUUUGUCUAAGCAGAUUAUAAUGAGUUGUUAUGAAUUAUAAUAAUACAUUUUGACGAAAAUCCCAUCGGAAAUUCCUAGAACCAUUAUAAAACA